rnacentral:rRNA from 1 species
AUUGAACGCUGGCGGCAUGCCUUACACAUGCAAGUCGAACGGUAACACGGGAGCUUGCUCCUGGUGGCGAGUGGCGAACGGGUGAGUAAUACAUCGGAACGUACCCUGAAGUGGGGGGUAACGUAGCGAAAGUUACGCUAAUACCGCAUAUUCUGUGAGCAGGAAAGAGGGGGAUCGCAAGACCUCUUGCUUUAGGAGCGGCCGAUGUCGGAUUAGCUAGUUGGUGAGGUAAAGGCUCACCAAGGCGACGAUCCGUAGCGGGUCUGAGAGGAUGAUCCGCCACACUGGGACUGAGACACGGCCCAGACUCCUACGGGAGGCAGCAGUGGGGAAUUUUGGACAAUGGGCGCAAGCCUGAUCCAGCCAUGCCGCGUGAGUGAUGAAGGCCUUCGGGUCGUAAAACUCUGUCGGGAGGGACGAAGGGGAAACUCUGACGGUACCUCGCAAGAAAGCACCGGCUAACUCUGUGCCAGCAGCCGCGGUAAU